rnacentral:rRNA from 1 species
UACGUAGGGGGCAAGCGUUGUCCGGAUUUAUUGGGCGUAAAGAGCGUGUAGGCGGCCAGGUAGGUCUGCUGUGAAAACUCGAGGCUUAACCUCGAGCUGUCGGCGGAAACCAUCUGGCUAGAGUCCGGAAGAGGAGAGUGGAAUUCCUGGUGUAGCGGUGAAAUGCGCAGAUAUCAGGAAGAACACCUAUGGCGAAGGCAGCUCGCUGGGACGGUACUGACGCUGAGACGCGAAAGCGUGGGGAGCGAACAGG